rnacentral:rRNA from 1 species
AUUGGACGCUGGCGGCAUGCUUUACACAUGCAAGUCGAACGGCAGCGCGGGCUUCGGCCUGGCGGCGAGUGGCGAACGGGUGAGUAAUACAUCGGAACGUGCCCAGUAGUGGGGGAUAGCUCGGCGAAAGCCGGAUUAAUACCGCAUACGACCUGAGGGUGAAAGCGGGGGAUCUUCGGACCUCGCGCUAUUGGAGCGGCCGAUGGCAGAUUAGCUAGUUGGUGGGGUAAAGGCCUACCAAGGCGACGAUCUGUAGCUGGUCUGAGAGGACGACCAGCCGCACUGGGACUGAGACACGGCCCAGACUCCUACGGGAGGCAGCAGUGGGGAAUUUUGGACAAUGGGCGAAAGCCUGAUCCAGCAAUGCCGCGUGUGUGAUGAAGGCCUUCGGGUUGUAAAGCACUUUUGGCGGGAACGAAAAGGACUGUGCCAAUACCACGGUUCGAUGACGGUACCCGCAGAAUAAGCACCGGCUAACUACGUG